GCCCUGGUGGUGGAAUUGGUAGACACAAGGGAUUUAAAAUCCCUCGGCGUUCGCGCUGUGCCGGUUCAAGUCCGGCCGGGGCACCA
rnacentral:tRNA from 1 species